UACGGAGGGUGCGAGCGUUGUCCGGAAUCAUUGGGCGUAAAGGGCGCGUAGGUGGCCACUUCAAGCGUGCGGUGCAAGUCGGGGGCUCAACCCCUGAUCGGCCGUGCGAACUGGGGGGCUGGAGCACUGUAGAGGCAGGCGGAAUUCCGGGUGUAGCGGUGGAAUGCGUAGAGAUCCGGAAGAACACCGGUGGCGAAGGCGGCCUGCUGGGCAGUUUUGCUGACACUGAGGCGCGACAGCGUGGGGAGCAAACAGG
rnacentral:rRNA from 1 species